rnacentral:rRNA from 1 species
UACGGAAGGGGCAAGCGUUGUUCGGAAUCAUUGGGCGUAAAGGGCGCGUAGGUGGUUCUGUAUGUCUACCGUGAAAGCGUACGGCUCAACCGUAUUUUGUCGGUGGAAACUGCAGGACUUGAGGCUGGGAGGGGCUGGUGGAAUUCCCUGUGUAGCGGUGAAAUGCGUAGAGAUGGGGGAGAACACUCGUGGCGAAGGCGGAUCUCUGGGCCUGUCCUGACGCUGAGGCGCGAAAGCUAGGGGAGCGAACAGG